rnacentral:snoRNA from 1 species
CAGUUCGUGGGAUGAUGUAUUAUUACAAGGCUCUUGAGAUGCUUACUUUUCUUGAUUCAGCUUCUGAAAUGUCUCUUAGAGAUG